UGCGCUGAGCUCAUGAUCCAAAACUGGACCCUUGGAGCCGUCGACUCGCAGAUGGAUGACAUGGACAUGGACUUAGACAAGGAAUUUCUCCAGGACUUGAAGGAGCUCAAGGUGCUAGUGGCUGACAAGGACCUUCUGGACCUGCACAAGAGGUGACCUUGUAGGGGCCCAUGGGGCGGGGCCUGCAGUAGGGGCCCAGGUGGCUAUAGGCGUGACCCUGUCUCUCUGCAGCCUGGUGUGCACUGCUCUCCGGGGAAAGCUGGGCGUCUUCUCUGAGAUGGAAGCCAACUUCAAGGUCUGUGGUCCCAUCCAGCCUCUGACCCUUGGCAUCUUCAGCCUCCAGUUCGCCACCCCUACCGGGCAGCUCUGCCCCUGCCAGGGAUUGGCCGGCAGGUGGCACUGCUGCUCCCUCUGGUGGCCGCUGACGGGAGCAGCUCAUAAACAAUGGGGAGUUGGUUGAUGGAGGGAGGUGGAUGGAUCUGGGGAGGGGCCUGCUCCUCCUCCCCCAGCUUCUGUGCUCAGCUGCCAACUUCUGGGGCAGAAAGCAGAACUCCAAGGAUCCCUGCCCCACAGAACCUGUCCCGGGGGCUGGUGAACGUGGCCGCCAAGCUGACCCACAAUAAAGAUGUCAGAGACCUGUUUGUGGACCUCGUGGAGAAGGUGAGCUGUCGUGCUCUCUGACGCCCAACCUGGUCUGUCCCUGGCCUAUACAAGUGCUAAGUAUCUCUUGGGCCCGCAGUUUGUGGAACCCUGCCGCUCCGACCACUGGCCACUCAGCGACGUGCGGUUCUUCCUGAAUCAGUAUUCAGCGUCUGUCCACUCCCUCGAUGGCUUCCGACACCAGGCCCUCUGGGACCGCUACAUGGGCACCCUCCGCGGCUGCCUCCUGCGCCUGUAUCAUGACUGAGGCGCCUCCCAACGCUCCGCCCACGCUGACAAUAAAGUUGCUCUGAGUUUGGAGACUGGUCCUCGCUCCGGGGAGCAAGUGGGGGGCGUGCAGAUGUGCCUGUGUAUGUCUCUGAGCACCUGGUGUCCGUGUACAAGGAUGGAUGUGUACAGUGGCUCCUUGGGAACUGGGACAUAUCUCAGGGAAUGGUGUCUGUGCUCGGCCCAUCCACCAGAAGAGUCUGCUCACAAGCC
rnacentral:sRNA from 1 species